rnacentral:snRNA from 1 species
AUAGCUUGUCAGCCUUUUGGCUAAGAUCAAGUGUAGUAUCUGUUCUUAUCAGUUAAAUAUCUGAUACAACCUCUAUCCAAAAUUUCUAGUGAACUUCUAUACUGGACAACAUGGUUAAAUGCUAGUCGUAGUGACUUUAUUAUUCAGUUUCUUGCAAUGUAGCUUCUUUCU